AGAGUUUGAUCCUGGCUCAGGAUGAACGCUAGCUACAGGCUUAACACAUGCAAGUCGAGGGGCAUCAGGGUGUAGCAAUACACCGCUGGCGACCGGCGCACGGGUGAGUAACGCGUAUCCAACCUUCCGUACACUCAGGGAUAGCCUUUCGAAAGAAAGAUUAAUACCUGAUGGUAUCUUAAGCACACAUGUAAUUAAGAUUAAAGAUUUAUCGGUGUACGAUGGGGAUGCGUUCCAUUAGGUAGUAGGCGGGGUAACGGCCCACCUAGCCAACGAUGGAUAGGGGUUCUGAGAGGAAGGUCCCCCACAUUGGAACUGAGACACGGUCCAA
rnacentral:rRNA from 1 species